rnacentral:rRNA from 1 species
CGUCGUGAGACAGUUUGGUCCCUAUCUGCCGUGGGCGUUGGAUAUUUGAAGGGGGCUGCUCCUAGUACGAGAGGACCGGAGUGGACGAACCUCUGGUGUACCGGUUGUCACGCCAGUGGCAUCGCCGGGUAGCUAUGUUCGGAAGAGAUAACCGCUGAAAGCAUCUAAGCGGGAAACUCGCCUUAAGAUGAGAUAUCCCUGGGGGCUAGAUCUCCUUGAAGGGUCGUUCGAGACCAGGACGUUGAUAGGUCAGGUGUGUAAGCGCAGUAAUGCGUUCAGCUAACUGAUACUAAUUGCCCGUAAGGCUUGAUCCUA